rnacentral:rRNA from 1 species
CCCUUAGAUGUCCUGGGCCGCACGCGCGCUACACUGAGUGUCUGAGAUACGAGUCUGCCUGGUCCGGCAAGAUCUAGGUAAUCGCUAAAAGACACAUCAUGCUUGGGAUAGAUUAUUGCAAAUAUUAAUCUUGAACGAGGAAUUCCUAGUAAGCGCAAGUCAACAGCUUGCGUUGAUUACGUCCCUGCCCUUUGUACACACCGCCCGUCGCUACUACUGAUUGGAUGUUUAAGCGAGGUUCUCGAACUGCUAGCGACUUAGCUUCGGUGAGGUCGCAGUGUGGGAAGUGAACCUAGCUUUGGUGUCUAGAGGAAGUAAAAGUCGUAACA